UUGGCAAAACUGGCGAAAGCCAGCGACGCAAAGCGAUGAGUCUAAGGCGAAGGUUCGCUAUGAUUGUCAGGCUGC
rnacentral:ncRNA from 1 species